UCCUGGCUCAGGAUGAACGCUAGCGGGAGGCCUAAUACAUGCAAGUCGAACGGUAACAGGGCAGAACUUCGGUUCAGCCGCUGACGAGUGGCGCACGGGUGAGUAACGCGUACAUAACCUGCCUUCAAGAGAGGGAUAGCCCUGGGAAACCGGGAUUAAUACCUCAUAGUAUUGCUAAGUCGCAUGGCUGUGCAAUUAAAGUUUCGGCGCUUGAAGAUGGAUGUGCGUGCCAUUAGCUAGUUGGUAAGGUAACGGCUUACCAAGGCAACGAUGGCUAGGGGGCGUGAGAGCGUGACCCCCCACACGGGUACUGAGACACGGACCCGACUCCUACGGGAGGCAGCAGUAAGGAAUAUUGGACAAUGGAGGCAACUCUGAUCCAGCCAUCCCGCGUGCAGGAUGACUGCCCUAUGGGUUGUAAACUGCUUUUAUUUGGGAAGAAACCUGUUCAUUUACUGAACAGUUGACGGUACCUUAUGAAUAAGCACCGGCUAACUCCGUGCCAGCAGCCGCGGUAAUACGGAGGGUGCAAGCGUUAUCCGGAAUCACUGGGUUUAAAGGGAGCGUAGGCGGCAUGAUAAGUCAGAGGUGAAAGGCUGUAGCUUAACUAUGGAAUUGCCUUUGAUACUGUUGUGCUUGAAUCGAGUUGAGGUCAGCAGAAUGUGACAUGUAGCGGUGAAAUGCAUAGAUAUGUCAUAGAAUACCAAUUGUGAAGACAGCUGGCUGGACUUGUAUUGACGCUGAGGCUCGAAAGCGUGGGGAGCAAACAGGAUUAGAUACCCUGGUAGUCCACGCCCUAAACGAUGUAUACUCGAUGUUGGCUUUUAAAGUCAGCGUCC
rnacentral:rRNA from 1 species